GACGAACGCUUGCGGCGUGCUUAACACAUGCAAGUCGAACGGAAAGGCCCUGCUUUUGUGGGGUGCUCGAGUGGCGAACGGGUGAGUAACACGUGAGUAACCUGCCCUUGACUUUGGGAUAACUCCAGGAAACUGGGGCUAAUACCGGAUAGGAGCUCCUGCUGCAUGGUGGGGGUUGGAAAGUUUCGGCGGUUGGGGAUGGACUCGCGGCUUAUCAGCUUGUUGGUGGGGUAGUGGCUUACCAAGGCUUUGACGGGUAGCCGGCCUGAGAGGGUGACCGGCCACAUUGGGACUGAGAUACGGCCCAGACUCCUACGGGAGGCAGCAGUGGGGAAUAUUGCACAAUGGGCGGAAGCUUGAUGCAGCAACGCCGCGUGCGGGAUGACGGCCUUCGGGUUGUAAACCGCUUUCGCCUGUGACGAAGCGUGAGUGACGGUAAUGGGUAAAGAAGCACCGGCUAACUACGUGCCAGCAGCCGCGGUGAUACGUAGGGUGCGAGCGUUGUCCGGAUUUAUUGGGCGUAAAGGGCUCGUAGGUGGUUGAUCGCGUCGGAAGUGUAAUCUUGGGGCUUAACCCUGAGCGUGCUUUCGAUACGGGUUGACUUGAGGAAGGUAGGGGAGAAUGGAAUUCCUGGUGGAGCGGUGGAAUGCGCAGAUAUCAGGAGGAACACCAGUGGCGAAGGCGGUUCUCUGGGCCUUUCCUGACGCUGAGGAGCGAAAGCGUGGGGAGCGAACAGGCUUAGAUACCCUGGUAGUCCACGCUGUAAACGGUGGGUACUAGGUGUGGGGUCCAUUCCACGGGUUCCGUGCCGUAGCUAACGCUUUAAGUACCCCGCCUGGGGAGUACGGCCGCAAGGCUAAAACUCAAAGGAAUUGACGGGGCCCCGCACAAGCGGCGGAGCAUGCGGAUUAAUUCGAUGCAACGCGUAGAACCUUACCUGGGUUUGACAUGGAUCGGGAGUGCUCAGAGAUGGGUGUGCCUCUUUUGGGGUCGGUUCACAGGUGGUGCAUGCCUGUCGUCAGCUCGUGUCGUGAGAUGUUGGGUUAAGUCCCGCAACGAGCGCAACCCUUGUUCACUGUUGCCAGCACGUUAUGGUGGGGACUCAGUGGAGACCGCCGGGGUCAACCCGGAGGAAGGUGGGGAUGACGUCAAGUCCUCAUGCCCCUUAUGUCCAGGGCUUCACGCAUGCUACAAUGGCUGGUACAGAGAGUGGCGAGCCUGUGAGGGUGAGCGAAUCUCGGAAAGCCGGUCUCAGUUCGGAUUGGGGUCUGCAACUCGACCUCAUGAAGUCGGAGUCGCUAGUAAUCGCAGAUCAGCAACGCUGCGGUGAAUACGUUCCCGGGGCC
rnacentral:rRNA from 1 species